CGGAACGUGCCCGAUCGUGGGGGAUAACGGAGCGAAAGCUUUGCUAAUACCGCAUACGAUCUACGGAUGAAAGCAGGGGACCGCAAGGCCUUGCGCGGACGGAGCGGCCGAUGGCAGAUUAGGUAGUUGGUGGGAUAAAAGCUUACCAAGCCGACGAUCUGUAGCUGGUCUGAGAGGACGACCAGCCACACUGGGACUGAGACACGGCCCAGACUCCUACGGGAGGCAGCAGUGGGGAAUUUUGGACAAUGGGCGGAAGCCUGAUCCAGCCAUGCCGCGUGCAGGAUGAAGGCCUUCGGGUUGUAAACUGCUUUUGUACGGAACGAAAAGCCUCUUUCUAAUAAAGAGAGGUCAUGACGGUACCGUAAGAAUAAGCACCGGCUAACUACGUGCCAGCAGCCGCGGUAAUACGUAGGGUGCAAGCGUUAAUCGGAAUUACUGGGCGUAAAGCGUGCGCAGGCGGUGAUGUAAGACAGAUGUGAAAUCCCCGGGCUCAACCUGGGAACUGCAUUUGUGACUGCAUCGCUGGAGUGCGGCAGAGGGGGAUGGAAUUCCGCGU
rnacentral:rRNA from 1 species